rnacentral:lncRNA from 1 species
AUCGACCCGUUGUGCCCAGCCCCUUUCCCCCUUUCCACUGCUGGAAGGAGAGGACAAGAACCAGGGUAUCUCCUUAGACACAGAAAUGGAAAGCACGUAUUAAGGAUGUGGAGCUACCCCAGCAGCCCUGACCUGCUGACCUCCAGACUGUGACAUGGAAACAGAUCAACUUCUCUCUUGCAUUAAGUCUGACACUGGGGACAUCAAAAUGGAUAACACAUGGCCCUGGAUCUCAAGGAACCUGCCGCCUGAUGGAAAAUAAAAGAGAGAGUCACACUUAAAUGAAUGAUUUCAGCAUAAUGAAUGUGACAAGUGAUAAGAUAAGGGAAUGCAUCCGGUAUCACUGCUUUUCCAAGGCUUCUCGAGGGGUAAAAAAUUACCCAGUG